CAAGUCAGCGGGGAUCGCAUCAGUUGAACCGCUGAAACUGCGCGGAUAUCAACGUCUCGUGCGAGAAUUCCGCGCUAUGACCCACGUUUCUGUGCGCUCGCUCAUCUGUUCAGAUGAUGUCCUGUGAGGACAGCGAUUGGCUCUUGUCUCAGACCUUCCCCGAGGUAAUUGGACGAGUGACGAGCACUCUGCACGUGACCUCUACAGUAAGCUUCCUACCGCUCCGGUUAAUGACGUAGACUGUGGAUCCUUAUGAAGCCUCGUAACUGAGCGACUCUUUACAAUGACGAUGUAAGAUCUGGGUAUUGAAACUUAAAGCCAGACUCAAGAGUUUUCUUAGGUACCACUUUCUGGCCUUGUGUGAGGAUGACAGCUCUUUCAGAACCAAGGAAGACAUCCAAGAAAAAGCCAGGCACAGGGAAGAUACUCCUCUUUGGGCUCCAAAGCAUGGGCGAUGAUGCCAGCAAGGUCUGACAGAUGGAUCCAAGGGAAGGGCUGUCGUCCUGAGCCAAGCGUCCCACCCAGGCCAAGCCAGAAGGGAAUCAACAUCUGUUUCAU